rnacentral:tRNA from 1 species
GAGGUCGCUGGUCCACAGGCCGCCGUCGACGGAGUUGCGGCCGCCCGCAUCGACGGUGGUGAGGCUGGUCGCGUCGAUCGACUCGGCGGCGACCUUG